GACGAACGCUGGCGGCGUGCCUAAUACAUGCAAGUAGAACGCUGAAGCUUGGUGCUUGCACCGAGCGGGUGAGUUGCGAACGGGUGAGUAACGCGUAGGUAACCUGCCUGGUAGCGGGGGAUAACUAUUGGAAACGAUAGCUAAUACCGCAUAAGAGUAGAUGUUGCAUGACAUUUGCUUAAAAGGUGCAAUUGCAUCACUACCAGAUGGACCUGCGUUGUAUUAGCUAGUUGGUGAGGUAACGGCUCACCAAGGCAACGAUACAUAGCCGACCUGAGAGGGUGAUCGGCCACACUGGGACUGAGACACGGCCCAGACUCCUACGGGAGGCAGCAGUAGGGAAUCUUCGGCAAUGGACGGAAGUCUGACCGAGCAACGCCGCGUGAGUGAAGAAGGUUUUCGGAUCGUAAAGCUCUGUUGUAAGAGAAGAACGAGUGUGAGAGUGGAAAGUUCACACUGUGA
rnacentral:rRNA from 1 species